AAGUCGUAACAAGGUCUCCGUUGGUGAACCAGCGGAGGGAUCAUUACCGAGUUUACAACUCCCAAACCCAUGUGAACAUACCUACUGUUGCUUCGGCGGGAUUGCCCCGGGCGCCUCGUGCGCCCCGGAUCAGGCGCCCGCCUAGGAAACUUAACUCUUGUUUUAUUUUGGAAUCUUCUGAGUAGUUUUUACAAAUAAAUAAAAACUUUCAACAACGGAUCUCUUGGUUCUGGCAUCGAUGAAGAACGCAGCGAAAUGCGAUAAGUAAUGUGGAUUGCAGAAUUCAGUGAAUCAUCGAAUCUUUGAACGCACAUUGCGCCCGCCAGUAUUCUGGCGGGCAUGCCUGUCUGAGCGUCAUUUCAACCCUCAUGCCCCUAGGGCGUGGUGUUGGGGAUCGGCCAAAGCCCGCGAGGGACGGCCGGCCCCUAAAUCUAGUGGCGGACCCGUCGUGGCCUCCUCUGCGAAGUAGUAAUAUUCCGCAUCGGACAGCGACGAGCCCCUGCCGUUAAACCCCCAACUUUCUAAGGUUGACCUCAGAUCAGGUAGGAAUACCCGCUGAACUUA
rnacentral:rRNA from 1 species